CUGCAGCUUAUUAAGCCGACCAGUCUCGCUGCGGUGCGGUUCUGGUGUGCAAAGGCUGCAGACACUGACUCUUUGGUUGUGUAUGUCCUCAGCUGGGAGGUGCUGAGUGCUUUAAGGGACCACUGAGACAAAA
rnacentral:snoRNA from 1 species